rnacentral:rRNA from 1 species
AUUGAACGCUGGCGGCAUGCUUUACACAUGCAAGUCGAACGGCAGCGGGGGCUUCGGCCUGCCGGCGAGUGGCGAACGGGUGAGUAAUGCAUCGGAACGUACCCAGUCAUGGGGGAUAACUACGCGAAAGCGUAGCUAAUACCGCAUACGCCCUGAGGGGGAAAGCGGGGGAUCGCAAGACCUCGCGUGAUUGGAGCGGCCGAUGUCGGAUUAGCUAGUUGGUGGGGUAAAGGCCUACCAAGGCGACGAUCCGUAGCGGGUCUGAGAGGAUGAUCCGCCACACUGGGACUGAGACACGGCCCAGACUCCUACGGGAGGCAGCAGUGGGGGAAUUUUGGACAAUGGGGGGCAACCCUGAUCCAGCCAUGCCGCGUGAGUGAAGAAGGCCUUCGGUUGUAAGACUCUUUUGUUCAGGGAAGAAACGGUAGAGAGCUAAUAUCUCUUGUCUAAUGACGGUACCUGUAAGAAUAAAGCACCGGCUAACUACGU